rnacentral:rRNA from 1 species
AGAGUUUGAUCCUGGCUCAGGAUGAACGCUGGCGGCGUGCUUAACACAUGCAAGUCGAACGGUGAAGCCCAGCUUGCUGGGUGGAUCAGUGGCGAACGGGUGAGUAACACGUGAGCAAUCUGCCCCUGACUCUGGGAUAAGCGCUGGAAACGGCGUCUAAUACUGGAUAUGAGCUGCGAUCGCAUGGUCAGUAGCUGGAAAGAUUUCUUGGUCAGGGAUGAGCUCGCGGCCUAUCAGCUUGUUGGUGAGGUAAUGGCUCACCAAGGCGUCGACGGGUAGCCGGCCUGAGAGGGUGACCGGCCACACUGGGACUGAGACACGGCCCAGACUCCUACGGGGGGCAGCAGUGGGGAAUAUUGCACAAUGGGCGCAAGCCUGAUGCAGCAACGCCGCGUGAGGGAUGACGGCCUUCGGGUUGUAAACCUCUUUUAGCAGGGAAGAAGCGAAAGUGACGGUACCUGCAGAAAAAGCGCCGGCUAACUACGUGCCAGCAGCCGCGGUAAUACGUAGGGCGCAAGCGUUAUCCGGAAUUAUUGGGCGUAAAGAGCUCGUAGGCGGUUUGUCGCGUCUGCUGUGAAAUCCCGAGGCUCAACCUCGGGUCUGCAGUGGGUACGGGCAGACUAGAGUGCGGUAGGGGAGAUUGGAAUUCCUGGUGUAGCGGUGGAAUGCGCAGAUAUCAGGAGGAACACCGAUGGCGAAGGCAGAUCUCUGGGCCGUAACUGACGCUGAGGAGCGAAAGGGUGGGGAGCAAACAGGCUUAGAUACCCUGGUAGUCCACCCCGUAAACGUUGGGAACUAGUUGUGGGGUCCAUUCCACGGAUUCCGUGACGCAGCUAACGCAUUAAGUUCCCCGCCUGGGGAGUACGGCCGCAAGGCUAAAACUCAAAGGAAUUGACGG